UGUGAGAGUGAUGAGUUGCACACUGGUGGAGCCAUGGUAUCAGGUGAUACAAGCCCCCACUCAGUAUUACUCUGUUGACAAAAUCAAGUGCACAGGGGCCAUCUGACUCACA
rnacentral:snoRNA from 1 species